rnacentral:tRNA from 1 species
GGAGAGCGGGCAGGACGGUCAAUGCACCUGCUUGGAAAGCAGGCGUCUGUGAUGAAUAGGCGACAGGGUUCGACUCCCUGGCUCUCCG